GGCUAACUGGAAAUGAUGCAUAUUUUCAGUACAUUCUCUUCCUCCCUCCCUACCUAGGACUUCUCAGAAAGUCAUAGAUACUGCAUACUGGCUCAUAUCAAAAAAGUCGGAGUCUCUUUUCUGAACCCUUAGGGGAGCGCACAGACUUCCUCUCACAAGUGACUCUGCAAAGGGACGGUGACGGUGCUGCAGGAGAGUUUUGAAUAUUUGCCCACUGUGUUUCCAAGUUUUCCAGAAGAAGACACAUAGCCAGAAUUACUGUCCUCUGUCCCACUGAUGGGCUGUCACGGAUGUGUUAUUGCUCUUGAUGAUUUUAGGCACACUCCUAACACCAAGAAAAAAACAAGGAGAGAAGCUGUGUUCAUGUCCCACUGUAGGGAAAACUCAAGUGGAUCAGGACUAUCUUGAGAAAGAGCAGGAAUCUUUUCACAGGUUUCAAAAGUGUUGAUGACAGGGAAAAGGAGUCACAUCAGACGUUCAGAUGCUCACUCUCAAUGGAAAAAAAAAACUGUAAUUAAAUGGAACAAGUCGAAUCUGUGACAAGCCAUACAUUCAAAAGGAUACUCAAAAUGGAGUAAUGAAUGUGAUGUGUUUAAGCAAUUAUUUAUCGUGCAAAGGGAAUGGUAUUUCUAAAAAUACAUAAUUGUAUUGAUUUUUAAUGAGUUUGGAGCAUUUGAAUAUUGUUUCUAUGAUGAGGCAUAUUUCUACUCAUAAAGUACAAAGUCUUCUCUGUCAGUUGAAGGAAGGAAUGAGAACACGGAGCUCAGAGCCAUAAACUCCUGGGAAGGAACAGAGAGAACUCGUCAACCAAAUAAACAUGCAUGACAGCCCAUGGCUAACCUGCCCUGGUGGUGACACAAUGACAGAUAUAAAGAGGAGCUAGGAUGAUGGCUUAGACAAAGUUCUCAAGAGGAGAGGUAGUUUUGAACGCAACCCUUUGUCCCCUGGGAAUAAAGCCCCUACGUUGUUGGUAAUGCGGUGUUAACUAGUCAAGGAUGUUUUCACUUGGCCUAAGAGCUGAGGUCAACAGAAAGGUGAAGACAGAGGUGUACAACACAGGCUAAGUAAAAUCUCUCAACAGGAUCGUUGGAAAGGGGACAGGAUCUGCAAAGUGAAAGCUCUAUGAAGAAGUCUGGGCUCAGCGUCCCCCCGAUGUAGCCGUGGAGGUGAGUUUUUUUUAACAAGAAAGUACCCAGUUUGAAGCACUGCUGGUGAGGUUUGGAAAAUACAGUUAGCUCCUUACGCCAACGAAGAAUCGACCAAUCAUCCAGGACCUUGCAACCUCAGCUUCCAUGAGACAAGAAUCUGUUAUUUUUGCCCCCGGCUUGGAAGAUGGCUCUAUUUUAAGGGAAAUAUGGAAAUGUAUCUGACGAAAUUAUUAUAACCCAGGCAGGCAUAAGAAGCAGCUGAAAAAUGAGCAUGUUGACUGAGAAUAAGAAUAAACAAGGUUAGUAGAAAUAGAUCUAUCCACACUAUGUUGAUGAUUUUGUAACUCGAUUAAGUGUAAGUUCAUACCUUUUAAAAUUCUUUAAAUUUUAAAGUGUGUUCUGCCCGCUUUUUUAAGUGACAAAAGCAAUUAAAUCUGUGAGAGUAUACAUUAUGAUUUUAAUUACUUGUUUGGGAAAUCUGA